GUGGGGAAUCUUGCGCAAUGGGCGAAAGCCUGACGCAGCCAUGCCGCGUGAAUGAUGAAGGUCUUAGGAUUGUAAAAUUCUUUCACCGGGGACGAUAAUGACGGUACCCGGAGAAGAAGCUCCGGCUAACUUCGUGCCAGCAGCCGCGGUAAUACGAGGGGGCUAGCGUUGCUCGGAAUUACUGGGCGUAAAGGGCGCGUAGGUGGACAGCUUAGUCAGAGGUGAAAGCCCAGGGCUCAACCUUGGAAUUGCCUUUGAUACUGGCUGUCUGGAGUUUGGGAGAGGUGAGUGGAACUCCGAGUGUAGAGGUGAAAUUCGUAGAUAUUCGGAAGAACACCAGUGGCGAAGGCGACUCACUGGCCCAAUACUGACGCUGAGGCGCGAAAGCGUGGGGAGCAAACAGGAUUAGAAACCCCGGUAGUCC
rnacentral:rRNA from 1 species